rnacentral:misc_RNA from 1 species
GGAUCUUGCUGAUAGAAUGAUUGAGGAAAAGGAUACAGAAAUUUCUAGGCUUUUAGAUGAUAACAAGAAUCUUCGACAAUCUUUGGAAUCAAAGCCUCCCGCAGAUCAAAUUGACAAUAUUGCAGUAACUCAAAAACAGGACUCUUCAAAUUUGAGCGCCUCCAAUGCAGAACAACAGAUUCUGCUUUUAGCAAGGCAGCAGGCUCAGAGAGAAGAGCAACU